rnacentral:rRNA from 1 species
CUCGUAGGCGGUUUGUCGCGUCGGGAGUGAAAACACUGGGCUUAACCGAGUGCUUGCUUUCGAUACGGGCAGACUUGAGGCAUUGAGGGGAGAACGGAAUUCCUGGUGUAGCGGUGAAAUGCGCAGAUAUCAGGAGGAACACCGGUGGCGAAGGCGGUUCUCUGGCAAUGUUCUGACGCUGAGGAGCGAAAGUGUGGGGAGCGAACA